rnacentral:rRNA from 1 species
CACGUAGGGGCCAAGCGUUGUCCGGAUUUAUUGGGCGUAAAGAGCUCGUAGGCGGUUGGGUAAGUCGGGUGUGAAAACUCUGGGCUCAACUCAGAGACGCCACCCGAUACUGCUCUGACUUGAGUCCGGUAGGGGAGUGGGGAAUUCCUGGUGUAGCGGUGAAAUGCGUAGAUAUCGGGAGGAACACCAGUGGCGAAGGCGACUUCCUGGCCUGUUCUUGACGCUGAGGCGCGAAAGCUAGGGUAGCAAACGGG